GCACAGAUUAGAAGAUUACAGCUGACAGCACUUUCCUAAGGGGACUUCAGACUGAAGUGCAGUGACCACGGCAACAGCUGGCCAGACUUAGAGGUUCCCUGGACCAAAGAGGGCAGGUAUUAUCUCAUAUCCCACAACUGGGGCUCUCCACUGGAAAAAGCAACAAAAGGUCCCAAUUGCUUCAAACCAUCGAGACUGGGAAACCAGCUGUGAUACAGGUACAGCUGCAGCAGGGAAAGAAACAGCAAAGG